UACAGAGGUGUCAAACGUUGUCCGGAAUUACUGGGCGUAAAGCGCACGUAGGCGGCUUUGCAAGUCAGAGGUGAAAGCCCGGGGCUCAACCCCGGAAUAGCCUUUGAGACUGCAUCGCUAGAAUUGUGGAGAGGUAAGUGGAAUUCCGAGUGUAGAGGUGAAAUUCGUAGAUAUUCGGAAGAACACCAGUGGCGAAGGCGACUUACUGGACACAUAUUGACGCUGAGGUGCGAAAGCGUGGGGAGCAAACAGG
rnacentral:rRNA from 1 species